rnacentral:lncRNA from 1 species
GGGGACGACCGCCUACGUGGGGGCAAUGGCCGUGGUCGAGAGCGCGGUGUGCUGGGAGAUGGUGGGAGCUUUGCGAGGAGAAAUUGAAGUUGUAAUUGUCAGCCUCGAGAGGUGCUGGCGCGAGCGGGGAAGAAGAGGAAGCCUCUCCAGCACAGAACCUUCAUCUUCUCACAAAGAACUGGUUGCCACUAAAGCCUGCAGUGGGAGCAGAGAGCCUGACUGAUUCCAGCAAGUGCAUUUUCUAAGACGGAAGGACUCUAAUGGACAAUUUUUCAGGUUCCCGUGAUUGGCUUUGGCUGAUCUCCCCUCCUCUGACAUUGCUGCCUGUUGAGCUGGAGAGCGCAAAGGAAGACUAAUCACUGCACGCCUUGAGCUGUCUCCUGCAGUAAGCCCUGGUGUUUUAUCAACUGUGGAGAGAAUCAAUACCUGGGGAGAGAGAAGUUUUGCCAACUGUCACCUGAGAUAAAAUGAUCAAUUUCCUAAUUCUAGUACUAAUGCUGGCUUCAAAGCCCAGUGAUAAUUAUCCCAGCUGGUUUUAAAACAAUCUGUGAAUGACACUGAUCAUGAUUAUUAAAACUGGUGUGAAAGGCAUUGUGGCACAUGAG